rnacentral:misc_RNA from 1 species
UCUCCGUUGGUGAACCAGCGGAGGGAUCAUUACCGAGUUAUCAACUCCCAAACCCCUGUGAACAUACCCAACGUUGCUUCGGCGGGACCGCCCCGGCGCCCUCGGCGUCCCGGAACCAGGCGCCCGCCGGAGGGACCAACCAAACUCUUUCUGUAGUCCCCUCGCGGACGUUAUUUCUUACAGCUCUGAGCAAAAAUUCAAAAUGAAUCAAAACUUUCAGCAACGGAUCUCUUGGUUCUG